AAACAAAGAUGUAAAAAAGGCAAUGAGAAGGCAAUGUGUGCACAGGUUAAAUAAAUAAAACAAACGUGUAAAUAUAUUGUGGAUUUUUGUUGAAUUUUAUUCUCAUUCACUCAAACCUCUAAAAUUAGUGUCCCUCUUUCAAAUGUUUGGAGGUGUGAUAAAGGACUUGAGGGGCUGAUAUAUCAACCAUUAAAUUUGCACUUUCAAGGACCACUCCACACCAAUAAAAUGCUUUUGUUUUCUGAAGUGCUUUGUAGGUGAGGAGUUUCCCUUUAUAA